UAGACAGUUUGACGACAGGUCGUUGUA
rnacentral:piRNA from 1 species